GUAGGUGGCAAGCGUUGUCCGGAAUUAUUGGGCGUAAAGCGCGCGCAGGCGGUUCUUUAAGUCUGAUGUGAAAGCCCACGGCUCAACCGUGGAGGGUCAUUGGAAACUGGAGAGCUUGAGUACAGAAGAGGAAAGCGGAAUUCCACGUGUAGCGGUGAAAUGCGUAGAGAUGUGGAGGAACACCAGUGGCGAAGGCGGCUUUCUGGUCUGUAACUGACGCUGAGGCGCGAAAGCGUGGGGGGAGCAAACAGGAUUAGAUACCCUGGUAGUCCACGCCGUAAACGAUGAGUGCUAAGUGUUAGGGGGUUUCCGCCCCCCCCUUAGUGCUGCAGCUAACGCAUUAAGCACUCCCGCCUGGGGAGUACGGCCGCAAGGCUG
rnacentral:rRNA from 1 species